GGGACGUUAAACCAACAACCCAAGGGUGCCUCGGAAUGCUUGGUGCGCGACGGGGGCGGAUCUUACUUGCCGCUCACUGGGGCUUCCGCCCCGUCCCGUCGCGGCGGACGCGGUUGGUGCGCGAUGGGGGCGGAUCUUACUUGCCGCUCAAUGGGGCUUCCGCCCCGUCCCGUCGUMGUCGUCGGCCGCGGGGGGUGCGCGAUGGGGGCGGAUCUUACUUGCCGCUCACUGGGGCUUCCGCCCCGUCCCAUCGUCGCCUCCUUUCCGGGGYGCCCUAUUCCAAUUUUUUACUCUGUAGAGAAAACUUGGGCCGGGAGUUCCGGCAAAGAGGGCGGGA
rnacentral:misc_RNA from 2 species